rnacentral:lncRNA from 1 species
AUGCUUACAUUAUUCAGUAAAAAAAUCAUUACCCUAGUAAAUCUGGGGCAGCACCUUGCCCUCCUGAUAAGGGGACUGAAAGACGUGCUCUGCAUUCGCGCGGUGCGACUGUUCCGGGAGGCCCGCACCAUCAGCAGCAGACAACGUUCUGACGGCACUGCCCGCGCUGUGCGGUGUGCACGUCCCGAGCGCUCCAGCCCGCUUCCCCCGGUCCUGCCACCGCUCGGGGUCGCCGAGCCGGACACCCCCUUUAUUUUGGCUACCCCGGUCUCACGGACACCGAGAACCUCAGGGCAUCCGUGCCCUGCGCACGUGGGGAAGGGGCGGCACCGACCCUGCGCCCGUCGGCGCCCGCCGGCCCAGGGACCUGUCGCGCCCCCCCCCCCAGGCCGUGUCGCCGGGCCGCGCCGCGAGGCCGCCAUCUUGCGAGGGCCGCGCGGCCAGUCCUGGCCGGCUGGGACCCCCGCGCGCCCCGUCUCUGGUCGCGGGGGCGGGGACGCGGGGGUGGGGCGGGGAGCGCCGGAAAGGGCCCUGGGGACUUUCAAACGGGACGCGAGGGCGUGCCCGGGGCUCAGGCGAAGGCACCGAGGAUCUGGACGUCGGAAUGGGGAACGACGGGAGAAUGGGCAAAAAAGUCCGGUGGGUCACAGUCUCCAACGCCAUCCGCAUGCGCCGCGCCUCCACUCUUGCGUCCCCACCCCGCUGCCCGUUCCGGGCCUCAACACCGCUCCCUACACGCUACCUGCUGUAGGCCCACACCCGGGGGAGGAGCGUGCACACCGCUCCGGAACCACCCGGUGUGCGCAAACCUCGUGGACGCGCGUGGCCGAGGCCGGGCAGGGGGCGGGGCGAGCGGCGGUGACGCGGCGGUUGCCAUGGGAACCCGCCGCCCGCUCCGGUGCAGGAGCCGAAACCGAAGCUGCCGCCCGCCGCCCGCCGCCCGCUGCCCGCCUGCCGGGUGCCCGCCUGCCCGCUCCGGGCUCUCCCCGCGGGGCGGUAGGGGGAGCCGGGCUGGAGGAGGGGAGGGGGAUGCGGCCUCCGAGCGGAGACUGGCCCCGCGCGUCCUAA